rnacentral:lncRNA from 10 species
UGUGUGAGAGAGAGAGAGAGAGAGAAAUUUUGGAUUUUGUGAGUGUGUGCAUGUGUGUAUGGUGAGAACCACGUAUUCAAACCAUUCCCUAUUUCGGCACCUCAUCCUGCCAAUUACAAUCUGCUUGGUGGUGUGAAACUGACAGCCGGCAGCAGUGAUGGAGACAGGAGGAACGGUGAACAAGGGCUUUGUGCAUUCUCAGCUUUAGAGAGAAUGUUCAGUGGGGCGGACAGGCACGUAACUGGCAGGUUUAGGAAUCAGUAAAAACCAAGAACUGGAAGUCCUAAUUUAUCGUCUGUUUCAAUACAAGGCUACACACAGGCUAUUUAAUAUAAUGCAUUGUUUACAAGUGGAGGAGAGUGGAAGUUAUUGAUGCAUUACAAAUGCAGGCAAAUGCAUCUCAUAAGCCGAGGGGUAGGUAAUAACAAUCGCAGAAGACUAAAUUUGACUUUAAUCCCCUGAAGAAUGGCAUGCAUACAGCUUAAAAUGAUAAAAGCUAGAGGGGGUGGGGAGAGAGGGAAAGAAAGGAGGGAGAGAAGGAGGCAGAGUGAGACAGAGAGGCUGAGAGACAGACAGAGAGAAGAAGAGAAAUGCAAGCUGAUUUUCUCCUGGGAUUAUCUAUUUCUUGAUUAGGAAAUAGAGUGGAAAUUGAGAGAAAAGAUUUUUGAAGACCUUGUUUUGAUAAACAGCGUCAUGCUUGGCAGGGUGUUUUCGGUAGCAGGUCUGGUGUCUGCGUGGUCAAGCAGCUUGGAGCGAUUUACAGACCUGCCAAUCCCUUAGAUAAUCCCAAAGGCAGAAAUAGAAAACAAGUCCUCGUUUGAUUAGUGCACGUAGCCCGGUCUGCGUCCUUCUCCUGGGGUCUUUAGAGCCAUGGCUACGGUGACUGGCUGUACACAAGCUUGCCUUGUCUUUGGGGUUAAAAUUCCUCGACUGUUGACACAGUGCAUGAUGCUUUGGGCGGAGUAGGUGUCCUGUGAAUGCUGGCAGCAUGAACAUGGGGUGAUGCAGGCGCUCACGAAGAAAGGCUAUGUCUGGACUCCAUAUUUCAGUCUCAGCUGUGAAAGUGACUUCAGAGUAAGCAAAAGAGAGUCAGCUCCCCACCCACACUGAAAUCUCUCUGCAUUAUUUAUUGACAAAGGUGUCCAAAUGCUGGGUGGAAAACCACAUGGUAGGGCACCUCCUACCCCUGGUGCAUCCCACUCCUUUGUGGAAUGGGACUUAAGAAUGAUCACCACGUAUUGGACGUAGAAACUAAGGCACAGAGAGGUUUCACAGCCGGUAACUGGUGGAGGGAGGAAGGACUCAAGCCCAGGCAGACUGACUCUGCAGGCUGUGCUCUCAACCAUCAAGGUCGUUCUUCUUUGAGUUGACCUGAAGUUUGCCUCUCCCACCUCCCUGCGGGAUCUCAUUGCAGCGGUUAGUCCCAUGCAAUGGUGUGCCCACUGCUGGAUUUCCAUUAUCAACGUGAGUUGGUUGUUAGACAUUUGCCAGCACACCAUUUGGCUAACAAAUGCUACUACAAGCUAGUAUGAUGCGCUUUUGGCAUUUGGCUCAGCUGUCUAAGGGGUGCUGGCUCCCAACUCCCUGCCCUCAAGAGGAAUGGGUUCCAUUGUGAUUGCUGGUGGCAAUGGUGAUGGCAUCACCCAAUUGGGUGAGUAGCUAAGAUAAGAAGCAUUGUUACAGGGACUCUUUGCUUUCAAGGAACAUUCAACUCCAUUCAAGUUAAUUUAAGCAAAAAGAGAAAGCCAUCAGAAGGAUACGUGUGUCUGUCAAAGAACCCAAGGAUACAUUUCUGGGUCUUAUGAAUGGCUGGAACCAGCAAUUAGAAAGCCCUCAGACAGGAAGACUUUCUCUCCAUUCUCUCUCUCCCUCUCUCUCUGACCUGUGCAUAUUCUCAUCUGCUUCUCUCUGGCUAUCUGCUUCAUUUUUGCUUUCUGCAGACCCCAUUUCUCAGUUCUACUUCCAUGUGGACCCGAUAUAGUCUUCCCAGUCUUGAUAAGUUUCCAGCUUAAGUACUCCCAGGAGGCCAGCUAGAACUCCUGUAUUUCAAUAAUCACUUCUUAAAAAAGAAUCUGAUUGGCCCAGCUUGGAUCAGGUAGUCAUCCCUGAUCCAACCAGCUGUGGUUGAGGGGAUAAGGUCACUUGCAGGGACACUGGGAGAAGGCUCCCUGAGAUAGGGCAAGGCGAGGCAGAAAGAUGAGUUGACUAAGUAUCUGUGAUUAGCAUGCAUUCCUGUCCCUUGGUGGUAGCACCAAUGGUAAAGGAAGAAGAUACCAAGUUCUGGAAGACACGACAGACCAUAUUUGUUAUUCUUCUCUGAAUAUGCAUAAGCAAAGCAUUUCCUUUGAUGAAGAAUGACUUGUAUUAAGUAAGAACUGAACUCUGUUCUUUUUUUUUUUUUUUUAGAUGGAGUCUCAUUCUGUUGCCCAGGCUGGAGUGCAAUGGUGCGAUCUCAGCUCACCGUAAUCUCUGCCUCCUGAGUUUAAGCAAUUCUCCUGCCUCAGCCUCCUGAAUAGCUGGGAUUACAGGCUUGCACCACCAUGCCCAGGUAAUUUUUGUAUUUUUAGUAGAGACGAGGUUUCUCCAUGUUGUCCAGGCUCGCCUAAAACUCCUAGCCUCAAGUGAUCCACCCAACUGGGCCUCCCAAAGUGCUGAUAUUACAGGCUGAACUCUGUUCUUAAGCUUUAAUGUUCAUAUUUCUGGAAUAUAGUCUAUAUGAAAGGAAACAGAACAAUAGUGGGAAAUGGGAAGAAGAAAGAGAACCACAGCAGUGAGGAACCAUGGCGGUGCGGAGAAAAUACUAAGCAGUCCUGUGGCUUGGGUGCUGUCUCUAGAGGAUCAGCAUGGAAUUUGGCCAAAACAGAUAUAAGUCAGAUUUAGGUCUCAAGCAUUGAGGCCUGAUGCAGCAUUUAUUUAUUUAUUUAGAGACAGGGUCUCUGUCGCAAGACUGGAGUGCACUGCUGCAACCUCAGUUCACUGCAAUCUCAGCCUUCCGGGCUCAAGCUAUUCUCCCACCUCAGCCUCCUGAAUAGCAGGGGCUACAGGUAUGCACCACCACACCCGGCUAAUUUUUUGUAGUUUUAGUAGAGGCAGAGUUUUGCCACAUUGCCCAGGCUGGUCUUGAACUCCUGAGCUCAAGCAAUCCACUUGCCUCAGCCUCCCAAAGUGUUGGGAUUACAGGUAUGAGCCACUGUACCUGGCCUGAUGCAACAUUUACGGAUGGGGAGACUCUUACUGUGAUUGUACUAUUUGCCCAGUUUUCCACACUGAUAAAACAGGCAAUAGUUUAAGGAGAAAGAAUCUGAGCCACCUUGGGUGUGCUGUCUCCCGAGACUCUGAGCAGAGCACCUUUUCCUGGGGAAUGGUGAGGGAGGUGUGGUUGCACUGAGCAGUGUAAAGGUAUUGGUGUGUGACAUACGCCACUGUCUUUGAGAUGCAGACAUCACGAUCAUUGACAUAAAUUAUUGCACACUGCUUCAAAUGCUGUUCAUACAUAAUUUCUAAUCCUUGCUACAAUCUUGCAGCAUGGAUGCCUGUGUUACCAUCUUCAGAUAGACAGCUUGGGGCCUCCAGAGAGCCAGAGCUGCUCAGUUGGCACACAGGAGGGCCAGGAAUGGGAUUUCUCUCUCUCUGGCUUAAAAGCCCAUCCUCCUCCUUUUUAAAAUUUUUUUUAUUUUUAGUUUUAUUUUAUUUUUUGCCACAUGACACCCCCAGAAACAGAGUCAGACAUGAGAAAAGGAAUCAAAUGCAUAGCCAUCCACAGAGUUCCCGAAAAAAGAAAAGAAGGAUUGUUUUAAGGACUUAUUUUCAUUAGGAUUCCAUUGAUGACUUAUUUUCGUUUCAGCUUGUAUGUGGUGAUGAAUAUUUACCUUAUUUGAAGCUGUUGUUGUCAAAAGUUAUCUGGAACAGGUAAUGUGAGGCCUUCAGAGAGAUCUCUCUUUGAAAAUGAAAAUAGAAAUGACACACACUGGA